UGGGGAAUUUUGCACAAUGGGGGAAACCCUGAUGCAGCGACGCCGCGUGAUUUAGAAGGCCUUCGGGUUGUAAAAAUCUUUUCUAUGGGAAGAAAAUGACAGUACCAUAGGAAUAAGGACCGGCUAAUUACGUGCCAGCAGCCGCGGUAAUACGUAAGGUCCGAGCGUUGUCCGGAAUCAUUGGGCGUAAAGGGUACGUAGGCGGUCAAUUAAGUCUGAUGUGAAAGCCCCCGGCUCAACCGGGGAGGGUCAUUGGAAACUGGUUGACUUGAGUGCAGAAGAGGAGAGUGGAAUUCCAUGUGUAGCGGUGAAAUGCGUAGAUAUAUGGAGGAACACCAGUGGCGAAGGCGACUCUCUGGUCUGUAACUGACGCUGAGGCUCGAAAGCGUGGGUAGCAAACAGG
rnacentral:rRNA from 1 species